rnacentral:rRNA from 1 species
UACGUAGGCGGCGCUGUCAGUCGGGUGUGAAAUCCCACGGCUCAACCGUGGAACUGCGCCCGAUACUGCAGUGCUUGAGGGAGACAGAGGUAAGCGGAACUGAUGGUGGAGCGGUGAAAUGCGUUGAUAUCAUCAGGAACACCGGUGGCGAAAGCGGCUUACUGGGUCUCUUCUGCGCUGAGGUACGAAAGCUAGGGGAGCGAAGGG